GGAGAGCUUCUUCCUGUGUGGAGGGCGAGGGGGGCUGCCAGUGUUUAUACCCUGUGGUGUAUUUGUUUGCUCCAGGAUCCCGCAGAGCAUUCGCUCACUUCUUGAACAAUAAACAUUGUUGAUUGCUGACGAAAGCACUGGUCCCGGUUUCUCCGAAGUCCGGUGAUUUAGAGGUGCCUGUGGUUUACCGAAGUAUCCCCGGGGCCCUGCCUGUGGCACAGAGACCAUUUACCACACCAGCAGUGGUUGAACUCAUGUGUUCGACCUCAGGAUGCGACCGAUGGCACUCGCCUCAGAAUGGGGCAAGGUUAAAAAUAUACGGAAAUGUGGACGGCUCCUCGGCAAGCAUCCCGUCACCAGCUGCUCUCGCAGCACAGCACUGUCUCUAAACCUCAGCCCCAGACCCCGCCACAAACUCCAGCGCCAGCCCAGAAACAUUCCCGACCAGCCUGUGUUAUUCACAACAACUCCUCUCUGCCUGUUACCAUCCAUCUCACGAUCAGAAACGACUGGAUGCUGAAUAAUACAGAGGGAAUCAAGGGAAUCAUGGAUAUAUACACUCACCUAAAGGAUUGUUCAAUCGCAUGGCAGUUGCUUCAAUGCAUUUAGGGG